UUCUGAAAUGAGAUUUGAAAUAAUCAAUAUUAUUUGUCUUUAGGCGUCAAAUUUUAGAUGUUGGGGCUAGCUACUUAACUUUUGUACUUAGCUUAGCUGGACAAGUGGAUAGAGUUACUUGGUCUACAGUAAGUUCUUCAUGCCUCAACCUGCAGCCAGCAGAUUUUAGUUUCUGCUACACCAGUGUCCUUUAUACUGGUAUCAACAUCAUUUGGUCAAGUGGAGACACGUGUUGGACAUGUGGAUGGUCAGUGUAGGAUUGCUAUUCGAGCCGAGGAUAGAAAAGGACCCAGAGAAAAUGGAAACUGGGAUUUAGUAAGUUUUUAAUCAUAUUCCAGGAAUGAAAAGAACAUGACUCCAAGAACAUUUUACAAAAAAGCAAAAAGAAGGAAAUGGCCAAAAUGUAAUAAGAUGCAUUAGGAGAAUAAAUAACAGCCACAUUUUCACAGGUUAUAAGCCAGUUAUUAUAAUAAACAAUACUUAACAUUACA